UCAUCUCUCUCUCUCUCUCCUUCCCUAGUUCUCUUUGCCAUGAAGGAGGAUAAUGAGAAGGUGCCCACUUUGCUAACGGACUACAUUUUAAAAGUGCUCUGCCCCACCUAACCUUGCCCUCAGGGCCAGUCUUGCCGCGGAGGUCACAGAGCAAGAGUCAUUCCAUCCCAGGGACUGCAUGACACCACGUAACCUCCGACGUGUAUUUAAACGUGUAUAGCUUAACCUGGAUUAAACAUGAGCAAGCGCGCGGGGUCCUUUGCUGUUGGCUUCUAGUCCUAGUGAUCAUUGGAUGCAUGACUGAGGGGCAGGGCUGGUGAGGCGCCUCUCGGCCCCGCCGGGGGGGAGGCGGGAAGGCAGGCGCUCUCACCGCUCACGAUGUAGCCUGGCUCCAGCCCUCGAAAACAGCUUACCCUCUAAGACUAAUUUUGAAAUAAACCUUCAUUUAAUUAAUAUUCUU